rnacentral:rRNA from 1 species
GACGAACGCUGGCGGCGUGCUUAACACGUGCAAGUCGAACGGAAAGGCCCUUCUUUUGUGGGGUGCUCGAGUGGCGAACGGGUGAGUCACACGUGUGUAACCCGCCCUUGACUUUGGGAUAACUUCAGGAAACCGGGGCUAAUACCGGAUAGGAGCUCCUGCUGCAUGGUUGGGGUUGGAAAGUUUCGGCGGUUGGGGCAAGACUCCCGGCUUAUCAGCUUGUUGGUGGGGUAUUGGCUUACCAAGGCUUGGACGGGUAGCCGGCCUGAGAGGGCGGCCGGCCACAUUGGGACUGAGAUACGGCACAGACUCCUACGGGAGGCAGAAGUGGAAAAUAUUGAACAAUGGGCGGAAGCCUGAUGCAGCAACGCCGCGUGCGAGAUGACGGCCUUCGGGUUGUAAACCGCUUUAGCCUGGGACAAAGCGUAAGUGACGGUAAUGGGUAAAGAAGCACCGGCUAACUACGUG